GGGUUUGUGGGGCUGAGGAAUGGUGGUGCUACUUGUUACAUGAAUGCAGUCUUCCAGCAGCUGUAUAUGCAGCCCGGACUCCCUGAGUCCCUUCUUUCAGUGGAUGAUGACACAGACAAUCCGGAUGACAGUGUGUUUUACCAAGUGCAGUCUCUCUUUGGGCAUUUGAUGGAAAGCAAGCUGCAGUAUUAUGUGCCUGAGAACUUCUGGAAGAUCUUCAAGAUGUGGAACAAGGAGCUCUAUGUGAGAGAACAGCAGGACGCAUAUGAGUUCUUCACUAGCCUCAUUGAUCAGAUGGAUGAGUAUCUCAAGAAAAUGGGACGAGAACAAAUUUUUAAGAAUACUUUCCAGGGCAUCUAUUCUGAUCAGAAGAUCUGCAAAGAUUGUCCUCACAGAUAUGAGCGUGAGGAAGCUUUCAUGGCUCUCAACCUAGGAGUUACAUCUUGCCAAAGUUUGGAAAUUUCUUUGGACCAGUUUGUUAGAGGUGAAGUUCUAGAAGGAAGUAAUGCAUACUACUGUGAAAAGUGUAAAGAGAAGAGAAUAACCGUGAAAAGAACGUGCAUUAAGUCUUUACCUAGUGUGUUGGUAAUUCACCUGAUGAGAUUUGGCUUUGACUGGGAGAGUGGACGAUCCAUCAAAUAUGA
rnacentral:lncRNA from 1 species